rnacentral:rRNA from 1 species
CCCUAAAAGCUUUAUUUUAUUUAAAUAUUUAUAUCUAGUGUUAAAUAAUUUUACUGGGGUAGUGACUUUUGAUAUAUUGAAGUUCGGUGAACAUUAAAGUGGGGGUAGUUCUUAUACAUAAUAAAAAAUUGAUUAAGUUACUUUAGGGAUAACAGCGUAAUAAUUUCGGAAAGUCCAUAUUUAUGAGAUUGAUUGCGACCUCGAUGUUGAAUUAAAUAAUCUUAUUUGAGCAGAAG